UUAAGACAUCCAGGCUAAAUGGCUAAGCUGAGCUCAAUGAAGCCAAAACAAGUGCGUCCACGCUUAAUUGGUUGCACAAAGACCAAGCCAGGAUGAUCAGACACGGAUUCAUCAAGCCAGGUGAAACCAAUCCUGGAUAGGUGCGCGCUCACGGCUCACUCAACUAGACCCCGCCACCGAUCACAGAUUCACCGAUUCACCAUGGCAACUAGCGGCGUUCUUUUCCCCGUCAGAGGCACAAAUCCAUACGAGGAGGUAAAAGACAUAAUUAAGAAGAAAGGCAACACCGCCACAGUGGUAAAGCAGAGAGAAAAAGCGUGGCAAAGUAUUGCAGACCGCCUGAAUGCAUUAAAUAUGACCGGGCCAAAACGGACAUGGCAGCAGGUCAAAAUCAAAAUCUGCAGAAUGCAGUGAAAAAGAAUACCCAGAGACAAGGCACGGGUGGUGGGUCACCAAAAGCUGACCUCAUCCCAGCAGAGGCCAGCUUUGGAGUUAAAUAAAGGCAGGCCUGUUGGAGGGAAUCCCUGGGGGAAAAGAGACAAGCAUAGGUCCCUCACAAGAUGCCACCCGCUUCAUACAAGGUAUGUUCUUCCAUCUCUACAUGGGACACAAUCACAUUCAUAUUGAAUCUAUUUGGACUGUCUGACUUUGGUUUGCCUAUUGCCUUGGAGUGUCUGGCAGCACUGUGUUACUGUUAAAGCCACCAGCACGAGCACCUGACGAUGCUGAUCCAGUGAGUACUCCAUCAAAGGCAUACUGUAGGCCUGGCAUGUCUUGUCUACUAGCUUCAAUAUGAAUCCGAUUAAAUGUGAUGGGGUCAAGGCCCCAUUUCAUCAGCACAUAACGGCGAUGAUGAUGAGGAGACCAUCUCUCUGGAUUCCAAAAGGCAUAAGGACCCAGAGUCAUUGGUGCACUGGACUGCACAAACAUAAGGAUAAAAGCCCCCUCAGGUGCCCAUGAGGCAGAUUUUGUAAAUAUGAAAUCUUUUUACAGCAUUAAUGUUCAGGUGAACAUAACUUUUUGAUCUUUUCCAUUGAACACUGGCAAAAUGGCCUGGCUCAGUCCAUGACUCCAGAAUCUUUUGGACCUCUGAAAUCUAUCAGCGCCUAUCACAAGGUGAAUUCUCUGGUGUGUUGCUGGUAGACAGGGGGUAAGGCUGCCAGCCGUUUUUCCUGACACCUUUCACAGACCCCCAGGAAGCACAGCAGGCCUACAACUAUGCCCAUGCUAGGGCCAGAGUUGAAAUGACCUUUGGCCUCCUGAAGGCACGCUCUCACUGCCUUCACAAAUUAAGGGUCAGCCCUGUGAGGGCAUGUGACAUUACUGUGGCUGGUGGUGUCCUCCACAAUGUGGCCUGCCUGAGGAAGGAGAGGGCACCCAGAGUGCCGCCAGCCAUGGACUGGGACAAUCCGGAAAUCUUCCCUGAUGACAACAGUGGUCGGCUGCUGAGUAAUUAUUUUAGUCAGUAUGUGUGCUUUCACAUUUUUUUGAUGUUUGUGCUGUAUACUGUGUGUAUACUGUUUGUAAUACAAGCUUGCAGGGAGGCUACUGCAUCCAUUAAUUGUCUUGUUUUCAGUUGUCUGAAAUUGUCUGUUCAGUUAAUGUGUAUGAAUUUGUCCUGCAUUUAUUUCAGUGUGCAGACAUGCAGGGUGUGUUAUAUACAGACCUUUGAAUGUGUAUUUAUCCUUUGGUUGUAUAAUAUGCUUUGAUUCUGUGCUUUCCAUCUUGUAGAGUCACUGUGUGACUUCAGUUUCGAAAGGAGCUGAUGGUUUACCUGCUUUGUUUUGUCCU